rnacentral:snRNA from 1 species
AACAUUAACAAUUGUUAUC